rnacentral:rRNA from 1 species
GAUGAACGCUGGCGGCGUGCCUAAUACAUGCAAGUCGAGCGAACAGACGAGGAGCUUGCUCCUCUGACGUUAGCGGCGGACGGGUGAGUAACACGUGGAUAACCUACCUAUAGGACUGGGAUAACUUCGGGAAACCGGAGCUAAUACCGGAUAAUAUAUUGAACCGCAUGGUUCAAUAGUGAAAGACGGUUUUGCUGUCACUUAUAGAUGGAUCCGCGCCGCAUUAGCUAGUUGGUAAGGUAACAGCUUACCAAGGCAACGAUGCGUAGCCGACCUGAGAGGGUGAUCGGCCACACUGGAACUGAGACACGGUCCAGACUCCUACGGGAGGCAGCAGUAGGGAAUCUUCCGCAAUGGGCGAAAGCCUGACGGAGCAACGCCGCGUGAGUGAUGAAGGUCUUCGGAUCGUAAAACUCUGUUAUUAGGGAAGAACAAAUGUGUAAGUAACUAUGCACGUCUUGACGGUACCUAAUCAGAAAGCCACGGCUAACUACGUG